UCGUAACACGAACCGGUGCUAAAGGGUCCUGCCCAAAGGCUACUGACAGGUGCUGUCGGGGCAGGGACCCUUUAGCACCGGUUCGCGUUACAAA
rfam:Sorghum bicolor cultivar BTx623 chromosome 4, whole genome shotgun sequence.